GAGAAUGAAGAAGCCUAUGUUUUAGAGAUAGGCACUGGAGAGAGAGAAAAAAAUGAAGGCCAUAUGACACUACUUAAGCCCUUGCCCUCAGGCAUGUCUGAAGCUAGUUCUACUUCUCAGCUUUCAGUUACGAAAAAACAAAUUAGGCUGGGUGUGGUGGCUCACGCCUGUAAUCCCAGCACUUUGGGAGGCCGAGGUGGGUGGAUCACAAGGUCAGGAAUUCAAGACCAGCCUGAUCAAUAUAGUGAAACAUGUCUCCACUAAAAAUACACACAUUAGCUGGGCAUGGUGGCGUGCAACUGUAGUCCCCGCUACUCGGGAGGCUGAGACAGGAGAAUUGCUUAAAUGCGGAAGGUAGAGGUUGCAGUGAGCCAAGAUCAAGCCACUGCGCUCCAGCCUGGGUGACAGAGUGAGACUCCAUCUCAAAAAAAAAAAAAAGAAAGAAAGAAAGAAAGAAAAAACAAAAUAUGUUUAGAUAGUUUAUUGUUGUUUUGCUUAAGCUACUUGGAACUGGGUUUCUGUCAGCUGCAAUCAAAAAGUCCUGAUGACUAAUACACUGAAUUUAAUCAAAUUUCCCUAUAGCUUUAUGGAGACACAGAGUCCUAAUGUUGGCAUUUGCUCAAAAGCCACAGCACCAAGAGUAACAAGUGAAUGUAUUUCACUUUAAAAGGUAAAUGAGAAAUUUGCUCUAUGUUCCUAGAAAUCUCUGCAGAGCACGUCAGUCUAAAGUUGCCCUUCUUAACCUUUUUCAUGUUGAGGCACACAUAGAACAUUACAAAAGUGUGUAAGGUAUAAUGGAGUGGGCAAAUUGGCCCAAGGACUAAGCCUCCCUCUGAAGACCCUGCCACCCAACCCAAGAGCUGAAGAGAUCAAUAUCCAGGCACCUGUACCACCCGUGAACCAGUUGGGAGGGUCACAUCUAGAAUAAGCACUUAUUACCCAACUUUCUUGGACAGCUGACCUAUCAACAAGCCAGCAAACAUUAUCGACCCUGUUCUAUCUGCAAGACAGGAGAUAGGGGAUAUGAAAGAGACAUAAAGAUAACAGGACACGAAGCUUUAAUGAGUGCAAGACGAUUGAUUAUGAAGCAAGAGGUUCCAGCUGAGCCUUCAGCCAAUAGCCAGCUAACAGGUACUUAGCAAGCACCAACUAUGGGCCAGGCAGUGGGGAUGCAGCAGGUUACAAGGCAACGUUUCUUCCCCUCAUGAAGUUUACAGCUAAGGGAUGGGAAAAUCAACAAACAAAUACAUAAAAAGCCACCAAUCAGUGGCUCUCAAAGUGCAGCCCCCGGGCCAGCAGCGUCAGCAUCACUCAGAAGAAAAGACCCCACCCCAGACCUACUGAGUCAGAAACUGGGCAGCAAUCUGUGUUUGAAGGCCUCCGGUGGAUUUAAUGCACGCUGAAGACUGUGCUGGGAGGCUGUGAUUGGGAGUAACUGCGGUGUAAUUUCAGACAAGGCAGCCUGUUGUAGGACUCUCUAAGGGGUGCCAUCUGAACUGAGCUGAAGCCAGAGAGGAGAAUGAGCCCGCAAUGUGAAGAGCCAGGAGAGAGUUCCAAAUAGAAGGAAGAGAAAGUGUGAAGGCCCUGAGGUCCAGAAGGGCCUGGUAUAUUUGGGGUAGAGAAAGGAGCUGGCAUGGUGCCUAUGACCAACCAGGGCACGUCGUGGGAUGGCCUAAAAGGGCCUAAAGCUGGCGGGCCCACAUGCUGGUCAGCCUAAAUCACAAGCAAACUCUGGGAUGUGGGACAGUCAUGGAGCCCUUCCACAUAUUCUCUAAAAUGAAGGGGCAGACAGGCGCGGUGGCCUGUAGUCCCAGCACUUUGGGAGGCCAAGGCGGGCGGAUCACCUGAGGUCAGGAAUUUGAACACGGCCAACAUGGCAAAACCCCAUUUCUACUAAAAAUACAAAAAUUAGCUGGGCCUGGUGGCAGGUGCCUGUAAUCCCA
rnacentral:lncRNA from 1 species